rnacentral:rRNA from 1 species
AACGAACGCUGGCGGCAGGCUUAACACAUGCAAGUCGAGCGAGAUCUUCGGGUCUAGCGGCGGACGGGUGAGUAACGCGUGGGAACGUGCCCUUCUCUACGGAAUAGCCCCGGGAAACUGGGAGUAAUACCGUAUACGCCCUUUGGGGGAAAGAUUUAUCGGAGAAGGAUCGGCCCGCGUUGGAUUAGGUAGUUGGUGGGGUAAUGGCCCACCAAGCCGACGAUCCAUAGCUGGUUUGAGAGGAUGAUCAGCCACACUGGGACUGAGACACGGCCCAGACUCCUACGGGAGGCAGCAGUGGGGAAUCUUAGACAAUGGGGGCAACCCUGAUCUAGCCAUGCCGCGUGAGUGAUGAAGGCCUUAGGGUUGUAAAGCUCUUUCAGCUGGGAAGAUAAUGACGGUACCAGCAGAAGAAGCCCCGGCUAACUCCGUGCCAGCAGCCGCGGUAAUACGAGGGGGCUAGCGUUGUUCGGAAUUACUGGGCUUAAAGCGCACGUAGGCGGACUGGAAAGU